rnacentral:lncRNA from 1 species
GGCAUCGGAGAAAAAGAAGGGGUAGAUUUCUGAUUUUGCCGUAUUUUUCAUGAUACCUUUUGUAGAGAUGAUCCGCAGAUCGGAUCAACCAUUCCUACGGUGAGCACCCAAAGCGACUUGGCGAAACCACACUAAAGAUGGGCUCAAGAUCUAGAACAGGUCAAGAGAUCUACUCCCAGAUGGUCACGGGCAGAUAGCAGCAAGCAAGCAUGAAUUUGCUAUCUUCUUCUCUUCAUCACUCUGCCUGUCCUAUCCUCCUGCAAAAUUGUAUCCAGGC